CCCGGGAGCACGGCAGGCGCACUCGGACUUGGGGCAGAGCGGACGCAGGGCGUGGGCGGACGGAGACCCCGAGGGUCGGGCCGGGACCUGGGCGCGCGAGCCGCGGAGGGGCUCCGCGCAGCCUACCGCACACCUGUGCACCUGCCACGCCCGCGCCGGGACGGGCGCCCUGGAUCCCGCGGCCCGGAGGCGCGGGCCGGGCUCGGGGCGCAGGGCGGCCUGGCGGGAGCGGGCGGGUCAGGGCGCGCGGACUGCCUCGAAUUUGACCCAGUGGGCGGGACACGGUGCGGUUGACCCGGGUUAGAACCCCUACGCGUGGAGGUCGGGCGGACAGCCUGUCCUCGCGCAUCCGGAGUCUAGAGGGUUCCACUCUGCGUUUGGAGGAACUGCUACCCGCACCGGAAGGGUGACGGUCAAGCAGCGGAGAUGAAGAAACCUUCAGAGGGCAGCCCCUCUCUUCGCACUUUCCUGUGUGUUUUGUUCCCCCAUUUCCUCGGUGCUUCACGCCUGGGGUUCCGCGGGCCACGUGCGGCGGCGAAUGGGGGGCGCUGGGGGAGGCAGGGCGCAGGGACCGCUCGCUCCCUGCUCGCGCGCCAAGGCGCUCGGCUGCGUUCCUGCGAGCGGAGCGGGAGGGUGGACAGAGGAGGAGCCCUGCCCGUAGACGGAUUUUCUGUUUCCAGCGGCAGUUCCUUUUCGGUUUGAAAGUGCCCCACGGGCUAAAGUCCUGCAUUUGAAUUUUCUACACACCUACCAACAGCCAUCUUCUGACUUCCCAACAGAAUUUUUGAUGAUCUCCUUGGUAUAGACACUCAUGGGUCUCGCUGCUGGGGACACGUGGUCCUCACACCUUCAUGUGCAUCAGAAGCACCUGGAGGGCCUCCAUGGCAGGUUGCGUCCACCACAGACAGGGUUCCUACUCACCGGGUCUGGAGUGGGGCCGAGAAUGAGCACUUCCACCAAAACCCCAGCUGAUGCUGUCCAGCUGGGGAUGGCACUUUGAGAAACACUGCUGUAUGUAGUAUUUUGUUACGUGACUAUAUGACAGUUUAUUCAUUCAACUCUUGAAGAAACUCUGGAUAAUGUCCAGUUUGGAAUUAUUAAGAAUAAUGUUGCUCAUCCAGCACUCUCGCAUGUGUCUUUUGGUUACCUCCGUAUGCAUUUCUGCUGGGGAUAGAUUAACAAUAGGAGUGAAAUUGCUGUGUCAUCGUGUAUGAAAUUCUGCCAGGUGGUUUUCCAAGGCGGAUGCAGGGAUUCACGAUUCCCCAGCAGGAGGUGAGGGUUCCUGUUGCCUCAUCUCUCAGGCGACACUUGGUGUUGUCUGUCUUUCCAUUUUAGCCCUUGUGACCGGUUUGAGGUGGUGUUUUACGGUGGUUUUAAUUUGCAUGUCCUGUAUGACUAAUGAACUUAAGUGCUUUUUA